rnacentral:misc_RNA from 1 species
UCCGGUUUGUCACCGGCAGUCUCAUUAAAGUGCCCAACCAAAUGAUGGCAAUUAAUGACAAGGGUUGCGCUCGUUGCGGGACUUAACCCAACAUCUCACGACACGAGCUGACGACAGCCAUGCAGCACCUGUGUUCAGGUUCUCUUUCGAGCACUCCCAAAUCUCUCCGGGAUUCCUGACAUGUCAAGGGUAGGUAAGGUUUUUCGCGUUGCAUCGAAUUAAUCCACAUCAUCCACCGCUUGUGCGGGUCCCCGUCAAUUCCUUUGAGUUUUAAUCUUGCGACCGUACUCCCCAGGCGGCCAACUUCACGCGUUAGCUACGGCACUAAGGAAGUCUCCUUCCCCAACACCUAGUUGGCAUCGUUUAGGGCGUGGACUAC